ACCCUCCAGCUUCCUUACCGCCCAGACUCAGACACUGGCUGGAGAGGUGAAAACGGAGGACACGUAAAACGGAGACUGGCCUAGUCUUUUGUGAGGCACAAGCUAGUUUCAAACAAAC
rnacentral:snoRNA from 1 species